GUUCCCGUGGUCUAGUGGUUAUGACGUUUGUCUUACACUUUCAGAGGAACACAAACGGUCGCCGGUUCGAAUCCCGGCCGGGAUCA